rnacentral:rRNA from 1 species
AGAGUUUGAUCAUGGCUCAGGACGAACGCUGGCGGCGCGCCUAACACAUGCAAGUCGAACGAGCGAGAGAGAGCUUGCUUUCUCGAGCGAGUGGCGAACGGGUGAGUAACGCGUGAGGAACCUGCCUCAAAGAGGGGGACAACAGUUGGAAACGACUGCUAAUACCGCAUAAGCCCACAGCUCGGCAUCGGGUUGAGGGAAAAGGAGCAAUCCGCUUUGAGAUGGCCUCGCGUCCGAUUAGCUAGUUGGUGGGGUAACGGCCCACCGUGGCUUCGACGGGUAGCCGGCCUGAGAGGGCGACCGGCCACAUUGGGACUGAGAUACGGCCCAG